rnacentral:lncRNA from 1 species
AGGAGAAACUGAGGCUGAGGCGGGAGCUGGAGGCCUGGGAGGAGGACGUGCAGCAGCUGGUGUGGCAGCAGGUCCAGAAUCAGCUGCAGAGAGAGGCCAAGGGUACUCGGGGAGCCCACGUGGACCCUGGAGCUGCCAGCACCCCCCGAUCCAGAUUCUCCCUGGGUCGGGGACGUUGGUGGUGACACAGACCUCAGCCCAGGACUUUGGGAGUAGUGUCUUUAUUCAUUAAAGCCUGAGGUCUGACCACCCCUGUAAAACCUCGUGCCCACGCAGUGCCUGUCUGAGUCCUUCUGUGCCCAAAUGUGGAGCAGGCUGCAGAGACUUGAAGCCUGGGGUUUUGUGCCUCCUUUUUGUUUUGUUUUUUUUGAGACAGAGUCUUGCUCUGUUGCCUAGGCUGGAGUGUAGUGGUGUGAUCUCGGCUCAUUGCAACCUCUGCCUCCCGGGUUCAAGUGAUUCUCCUGCCUCAGCCUCCCGAGUAGCUGGGAUUACAGGUGUGCACCACCACGCCAGGCUAAUUUUUGUAUUUUUAGUAGACAGGGUUUCACCAUGUUGGUCAGGCUGGUCUCCAACUCCUGGCCUCAAGUCAUCCUCCCGCCUCAGCCUCCCAAAGUGCUGGAAUUACAGGCAUGAGCCACCACGCCCGGCCAUCUUCUUGCCAGCAACUCUUAGACCAGGAAGCCUCGGAUGGCAGCUAUGAAGUCCUGUGGGCGGUCAGCGUGGAUCCAGUGGCCAGCGUUCGGCACCGUCUGCAUCUGGGCCCGAGGGAAGAGCCGCAUAAUCUCAGGGUGGUGGCUGGGACUGUGCAUCGCAGCGAUGGCCAUCAAAAACGGGUGAAAGUGGGAUGAGGAGGAGUGAAAGAGACACGUGGAAGCAGAACGGGGAGAAAUGGAGAGAGCUGUGUGAGCCCAUAUGCCCGGUGGUAUUUCUGGCCUCUCAGCCACCCCCCUUCCACACCCAAGGCCUCCCCUGGUAGGGUCCCCAGGCCGGGGCCUGGGCGAGUAAAGCAUGCCCCUCCUACUACCCAGGCUAGCUUACUGCACGAACUGGGAGUUUCCACCAAGGAGAAAGAGUGUUGGCCCGAGGUAGGACUCCUGCCUCUGUGGGAAAGCCAAGAUCUUGUCUAGGUGCUGGGUCAGGGCAUCCAAGUUCACCCUCCACACGAAGCGCCCGUCUACCUCUACCAGGUUAGUGAGCAGGUGCUGCCGCACGGCCAUGUCCUGUGGGGGUGCAGCAGUUGGGGGGGGUUCCUUGUGCGGUCUGGGGGUGCCACUCUUCCCUUGACAGGUCCUGGUCUACAAUACCAUCCGGGGCACCUUGGGUGUAUCACCUGGAUGACAGAACUGAGCUGUUCAUCCGCCAGUUUUCGGGCACGGGAGCGGGGCAGCUCAUCUGCGAUGUUGAUGGCCCUCAUGGCUGCCACGUAGGUUGCAAAGUGGGAGACACCUGUGCUUUCCACUGGGCUGAUAUCUACAGCAAUGAGACGUUCCACCAGCUCUGGCUGUGGGAGAGAACCGAACUGGGACCAGUCUUAGGCAGACAUAGGGAGUCUCAGGCACGGCUCCUGGAGCCUGAACUUGGUCAUCCAACGACCAUGUGAGUCCCAGGUUGCCUGCAGGGCCCUCAGGAUAUAUACUGAAUGGGAGGAGGCCCCAGACAUGGGCGGCUCACCCUCUGUAGUGCCAGCAGCAUGGCUGUCUUUCCUCCCAUGCUGUGGCCAACGACGACGCAGGGCACCAGGCCCAGCUGGGGCAGAAGGUCCUGCAGGUCCUGGCUCAUGAUCUCGUAGCUCAUGUCUGGGCUGUGGGGGCUGUCACCGUGGUUACGAGCAUCCACCGUCAGCACCUGGGGAGUGGGGUGAGACGGGGCUGCGUUGAUAUCCCCAUUCUGGGGGUAGACAGCCAAAGGCUUGUAGGGACAGCAGGUCAAAGGUGUGGAGAGCCUGGGGAUACACCCUGUGGAGGGGAAGGGCCCAGUUUCCAGACCUAGGAGGCCCAGAUGAAGAACCUGGGGCCACUCUGCCAGAGAAGAGCAGGCCCCAGGGUUGUGACCACGUCUCUGAAGGGCUGGCCUGGCUGGGUGGCAAUCUCGGAGAAUGCCAGGAAGGAGACUCCAGGAAUUUCCAACAGUAGGAGCACAGAAGAAUGGGCUGCCAUAAGAGGUGGUGAGCUCCCGGUCAUCCCUAGUGAACAAGCAGGCCCCUUCAUGGAAAGGGUGCAGGCGCCUAGGCAUGGGCCAGCCCCGAUGGAGAUCUACAACAUGAAUUAAUGAAGAUGGCAACGUGAGGGAAUAAAUGGGGUUGCCGUUCAGGGUCCAUACUCAGAGUGAGGGAUCUGGAAGUGAGCGUGAGAAGCGGGACCCCCUGCCCUGCCUCCUCUCAGGCCCCGCCCACUCCCGCCCAGCCCCAAAGGAGCCCCGCCCACUCGAAAGCUCACCCUACGGCCUGUCUGCUGGGCCAAGAUCUUGGCGAUGGAGUUGAAGUUAGUUUUGCUGCCGAAGAGCCCGUGCAAAAAGACGACGGCCGGGAGGGCUGCCUCCCCGUCCAGAAGCCUGUAGGAAAGCGGAAGCGGCCUGGCAGGGGAAGGAUCGAGGUCAGGGUCUGAGCCGGCGGAGACGGGGAAAGGGGUAGGGGGAAAGAGCUUUGGGGGAGAGGCCUGGGAGGUGACAGGCCCAAAGGGAGGAGAUGGGGCCGUCGGGGCCCGGCAGGAAAAGGAGGACUGAGGAUGGCCUCCCGCCCGGUGCCCUUGACUGACCUCGGCUCGGCGCCCCCUCGGCCGCCGCUGCUGCUGCUGGGUGCGACAGGCACCCUCGCGAAGCUAGGGCCGUGGGGGCCGAGUCCCUCACGCGGGAGCCUCCAGGCUCGGGUCCAGCGGAGCAUGCUUGCAAGCUGUUGGCCGGCUCGCAUCUCACAAAGUACGUCCUCCCCGCGCUCCUUCUCCCGCCCUAGCUCGCAGCCCCGCCCAUUUCCGUCUUCA